AGCAGCCGCGGUAAUUCCAGCUCCAAUAGCGUAUAUUAAAGUUGUUGCAGUUAAAAAGCUCGUAGUUGAAUUUUGGGUCUGGCCGGGCGGUCCGCCUUCUGGGUGAGUACUGUUCCGAUGUCGGGCCUAUCCUUCUGGUGAAUCGGCAUGCCCUUUACUGGAUGUGUCGGGGAACCAGGACCAUUACCUUGAAAAAUUAGAGUGUUCAAAGCAGGCGCAUGCUCGAAUACAUUAGCAUGGAAUAAUGAAAUAGGACGCGUGGUGCUAUUUUGUUGGUUUCUAGAACCGCCGUAAUGAUUAAUAGGGAUAGUUGGGGGCAUUAGUAUUCAAUUGUCAGAGGUGAAAUUCUUGGAUUUAUUGAAGACUAACUUCUGCGAAAGCAUUUGCCAAGGAUGUUUUCAUUAAUCAAGAACGAAAGUUAGGGGAUCGAAGACGAUCAGAUACCGUCGU
rnacentral:rRNA from 1 species